AAAAAAAUAAAAAAAUAAAAAAAGAAAAGAAUUAAUUGUACCUUAGAAAAAUAAAAAGAAAAAUAAAAAAAUAAUAAGACAAUGGAGAGGAGGGAUCAAUGUGCUUCAAUUGAUCUGAUGACAAUUCACAAUCUUGCUAGUUUUUUGUAAUGAGAAUCUUCUUCGAGAGUUGAUUCUCUAAUUUCUUGAAUUUUUACUUUUGACAACUUUGCCUUCGGCAACAUCGAGAUAUUGCAAGAACUUGAUCUGAUUUCCUUUCAUGAUAUCUGUUGUAUUUUGUAAUGUUGACAUGAACAUAACCGAACAAUUGGCAGCCAUGGAACUUUGCUCUCAAGCCUCAAGUUAGCUUGUUUAACUCUCUUCACAUAUUGCUAGAAUUUAUCAUUCAUUUAUAUGUCAUGUUCACUCUUUGCUAGUCAGCAAGUUGAGCUUGCUUUUUUGUUUGUUUGUUUGUUUGUUUUUUUUAGGUCGAAUGCUUGCUUUGUUCAUUCAUGAUCUUUCUAUCAUAUGCAAAUUGAUUAUAUUAGGAACUGUGUUUUUUUAUCUCUCUCUCUCUCUCUCUCUCUCUCUCUCUCUCUCACACACACACACACACACACACACACACACAUCCAACCUUUGCUACGAUGGAUCUUGCGACCAUAAUCACUCUCCUUAAAGACUUGGAAAGUUUAUCUUUAUUUGCUGAAGUUUCGAGUUAGAUAAAAGUCUAGGAUUGGAAUAAAAUGAAUUAAAAAUAUUAUCAAAACGCAUGAUCAAGGACCAUUUUAGAAUACUAUUGGUAGUGCGAGUGCGAUUUUCAACAAUCAAGUGCUUAUAAGUUGAGGUUUACCGAGGUCAGGUACUUCCACAGCCGUUUUCAACCCACCACAUUACUCGCUCUCUUCACGUGGAUGACUGCAAAAAGAUUGAAUAAGAAUCGAAAAUGUACAUGGACUUUGAAACUAACAAUGCCCCUUCCUUGAUUAGAUAGCUCAAGUAUUUUCUUACCCUUCAUUUACUCAAUAUAGAAAAUCCAAAGAUGGAAGACUUUCAAGUCUCCUUCCUUGAGUAGACUUCUCCAGUUUCGUCUUACCCUUCAUUUUCUCAAUGUAGAACAUUCAAAGGUGAAGACUUUCGUGCAACCCACCACAUUACACGCUCUCCUUAUGUGGAUGAUAUGAUGCCCGCAAAAAGAUUGAAUAAGAAUCGAAAAUGUAUGUGGACUUUGAAACUAGCAAGGUCCCUUUCUUGAUUAGAUAGCUCAAGUAUUUUCUUACCCUUCAUUUACUCAAUAUAGAAAAUCCAAAGAUGGAAGACUUUCAAGUCUCCUUCCUUGAGUAGACUUCUCCAGUUUCGUCUUACCCUUCAUUUUCUCAAUGUAGAACAUUCAAAGGUGAAGACUUUCGUGCAACCCACCACAUUACACGCUCUCCUUAUGUGGAUGAUAUGAUGCCCGCAAAAAGAUUGAAUAAGAAUCGAAAAUAACGUUCAAAGGUGAAGACUUUAAUGCAAUGAUUGCCAACUCCUCUGUUGACGAUGUCAACAGUUCUGUACUCACAAUGGCCACAUGGAGAGAGCAACAUCCACACUUGGAUCUUAUUACUUUUCUGUACAAAAGUCAGUUACCUCAACUAGUCUCUAAAUUUCUCUCCCUUCUUUUUUCAAUGUAAAAAUGAAGGCUUUUCAUGCUACUAAAACAUGCUAGACCAAGCAAGACGAUGGAGUUGAUGGAUCAAUGUGGUUCAACCGAUCCGAAGACAGUUUCCAAUGUUCAUAGUUUUUCCAACUUAGAAUCUUCGUAGAGAUUUGUUUUUUAACCUGUCACAUUUUUCUUGUUGAUAUCUUUGUCUCCGGCAACUUUGAGACCUCGCAAGAACUUGAUCCAAUUUCCCUUCAUGAUAUUUGAUAUAUUUUGUAACAUUGCCAUGAAUGUAACCAAACAAUUGGCUACCAUGUAACCUUUCUCUCAA